CAGACUAUCGGGGGAGUGACACUGAUGCAAGUGAGUUCAGGAGAAGAGUCUUGAGGGAGUACACCAAUCUCAACUGGUUCGGAGUCAUCAGCUUCGGAGACGAUAGAGGCGGCUGUUGCAGACUCCAAGAAUACACCUACUUAAACUAUGGUCAAAACCAUGGACUAUCUCCUUAUGAGUACAUGGCAAAAAUUAUGGACUUUUCCACUGCAGGGAAAAAACUGGUCUUCAUCAGGGCAGAUUUCUACCCGAUUGCAUGUGUGAAUGUGAUCACGCGGAUAGCAUUCGGAAAAGGUAAACUUCGGAUAGUAGGCACAGCACACGUGAACAUAGACUUCAUGUUACCUCCUAUCAACAGAAUCAU